rnacentral:tRNA from 1 species
GCCAGCGUGGCUCAGUGGUUGAGCGCCAGACUUUGAACCAGGAGGUCACGGUUCAAUUUCCGGUCCGGGCA